AGUGAACGCUGGCGGUAGGCCUAACACAUGCAAGUCGAACGGCAGCACAGGAGAGCUUGCUCUCUGGGUGGCGAGUGGCGGACGGGUGAGGAAUACAUCGGAAUCUACUUUUUCGUGGGGGAUAACGUAGGGAAACUUACGCUAAUACCGCAUACGACCUACGGGUGAAAGCCGGGGACCUUCGGGCCUGGCGCGGAUAAAUGAGCCGAUGUCCGAUUAGCUAGUUGGCGGGGUAAGAGCCCACCAAGGCGACGAUCGGUAGCUGGUCUGAGAGGAUGAUCAGCCACACUGGAACUGAGACACGGUCCAGACUCCUACGGGAGGCAGCAGUGGGGAAUAUUGGACAAUGGGCGCAAGCCUGAUCCAGCCAUACCGCGUGGGUGAAGAAGGCCUUCGGGUUGUAAAGCCCUUUUGUUGGGAAAGAAAAGCAGCCAGUUAAUACCUGGU
rnacentral:rRNA from 1 species